UUCAUAAGCCUGAUGAAAAGAUAAAGAUGUGGACACAACAGAGCAAACAGCAGUUCAUAUAAAGCUCUCACACCUCGUGUCGUUUCAAAAGAUAGAUAUUUCACAUGGGCUCUACGUGAUCCUGUCAGUUAAACUGUAUGGUAUGAAUGUGUAAACAUACAACCAAAAGUAAACAGAGGCAGCUGCUGGGCGUUUCCUGCCUUCCCAGAAUCCAACAGGAUGUUCUCCAAAUAUAAUCACAUAGGAAGUAACAGCGGAUUGACUUGAAAAAUAGGUUUCGAAAAUGUUUUUUGUGGCCAACAAACUUUGAUUCACUUGUCAUUUUUUUGUUGAUGCCAUGUGUGUUAAACAUCUUGAUAAAAUAUAUUAACACUACUUUUGAAUUUAAGUAUUCCCUGAAGUGGAGAAGUUAAAUCGAACAUCAUGCAGCUUUAGAAUAAACCAUGAGGUCUGAAGCUUCGAAACACUAAUUAAGGUCUGUGAGUCAACAACAUUAAAGGUAGUGACAGCAGGUUCUACACAAAAGUGAAGGUGAUGAUUUUUUUGUUUAUACAAAGACAACAAGGUUUAUAACUAGUCAGUUCUAUGUCUCUAGAAAUUCUAACAAAAAUAACUUCCCAAUUAACAAAUGAAAUUAUCAAACUCAACACAGUUGAUGUAAUCUUUUAACAUGGGGGGGACAUAAAAUAAAACACAAAAUUAGGUUAAAAAUGAGCUCAAAUAAAUGAAUUCAUCAAACUGAUAAACCUUAAAGAAUAACUCACUUCAGACGAACUUGACAGGCAAAGGAGAACAUGUCUGGUUGAAGCAGAAUGAGCUUAAAGCUCUCCUGCUGUUUAUAAAAGCUCUGAUUGAGCUCAACUGUUUUAUUGAUUCCUGCCAGCAGUUGGGUGCAUGUUUCUUUUUAUAGUCUAUGGUUUCUCCUCCCAGAGCUCAAAAGGGUAAUCGAAGAAAUGACAGAUUUCAACAAGGAAGUUUUCCUCAACAAUAUGCAUGCAAUAGUUGUAAAAGUCGGGAUCUGUUCAGUGCUACCAAAGAGAUGAACACAGCAUUAGACUGCUCAUUUAUCAAAGUGUUUUUCUGUAAAGCUCUUUAAAAACUCUAAAAGAAUGUGUUUCUUCUUGACUCCUAGAAGAGCAAAUGAUGAUGUUGAUAAGAUGUCUGUAUUAAGACAUGAUUUGUGUUUAAACAUCAAAUGACAUAAUGACAUUUUUCCCGUUAUUUGUUGCAAAUCUUCAGCGGUUUUUGUUGUAAUAAAUUAAAAUGUCACCUCACAUUUCUAACUGUUUGUUUCUCUGUAUGUUCAGUGAAUAGAUACUCUGACGUGGUGUACUCAGAUGUCCAUAUAAACGCAGACAGAUGCAGCCAGGGAAGAAAUUUACCAGACUCAUCAGAACCUGAUGAACACCCCGGCUUAAGAUUAGUGUACUACAAGCUGAUGGGGCAGCAUCCCCUGUCUCCUCCUGAAACAGAUGAUCAUGUUUAUGACCAAACAACAAACUUCCCACAUGCAUGAGCAGCUUAGUGAUUCCAGAAACAGAAGACACUAUCAGUGUGUCAAUAUCAAGCAGCUACUUGUAUUCAAGGUCAUUACACAAUAUGUGCUCAAUAUUCUGAUUUCUAUGCUGUCUCUUUUUGCAAUUUAUUUGUCGUUAACGUUUCAAUGUUUUCAUAUUGCUUUGAAUUAAAAGUGUUAAAAAAUCGUCCACACAUCUCAAAGUGUCUUUAGUCCCACAAGGCUUAUGAAGAAACAUUCUUGUUGGUGCGCAGUAAGGAUCAAACACCAUUAGUACAUCAAUAAGCCAGAAAUGAUUAACACUCUUCUUUCUGAUUAGAAGAACUUUGUUACAUUUAUACCAGUACAGUUUGUUAUGCUGCAGUGAGCCGCUUAUAUUUUUGUAACUCUUUUACAAGUUAUGCUCGAAUAUUGGCCUAUUUUUUGGAAUGUGAUUUUUGUACACCAAAACGUUGUAGCUGCCUUUGUGUGGAACAUGAAAUGUUGUUUUAAUAGCAUCUAAUAAUCAUUUCACUUUUACAAACAAAAGAGAAUGAUGACAACAGUAAAGAGCAUUUGACUUGACUCCAGCCCUUUGAUUUCUCCAAAAGUCUGUUAGCUAUCUGUCAAUUGGUGCAAACACACACAACACAUUGAGGACAGAAUACCACUUCUUCUUCCUUCAUUUGGGAAAUGCAGCUGUGUUAAAUUUUUUUGGACUACGUUUAAUUAAAUAUAUUCUAGUAUCAAAGUUUGCUCUGAGUUUGUAAAAAUAUAGUGUCUGCCCUGUGUAGAGCCCAAGCACAACUAUAGACUAAACCGUACCCACCUAUACCCUCUUCUGCCCUCCUGAGGGACCAGCUCUAGUUUCUUGAAUGGAUGACGUACAGGAAAACAACGACGUUGACAAAGCACCAUGGUUCCAGAAAGCAGGUGUUGGAUGAUGCUUUGGUCAACAUAAUCAUUAAGGACACUCAGCCUUUCACGGUGGUGGAGGAUGAGGGGUUUAGGGAGCAGGUCCAAAAGCUGGACCCUACCUACAUUCUCCCUACAAGGCUUUGAAGGCCAUGGUGGCUGCUAAGUACAAGGAGACCAAGGACAAGGCCCAGGUGCAGAAGGUGGUGGCUGUCAGUCUCACGUCUGACAUGUGGACAUCCAUCAAUAUGGACGCCUACCUUGCCUUGACGUGCCAUU